GGAAGGAACUCUUACAAAUUGGAGCUUAAGAUGGCGUUUCUACUGCGCUUUGAGCUGGGAUGGAGAGACACCCAGAAUGAUGGAUUUUAUUGGAUCGACAGUCUUCUAUCAGCAAUCUAUAAUUAUACCCCCAAUCGAUUGGCGCUGACAGCAGUUCCAUGGUAUUCAGCAAGAUUCAUCAGAGUUCAUACCAAAAACGAGGCAAAGAAGCCAGCUAGACGGGCAGAUAAUAGAUUUUAGAUACUCGUAGACAAUAAGAAAGUGUCAAAAAUGAAGAUCGACAGUUCCGGUCCCAAUGUGUGGUUGUGCCACAGUCACACAGUCACAGGCCACACCACAUUCCACCUCUCCACAUGAGAAAGAUCGGACACCCGUCCGAAAUGGGUCGUGGCUACGGCAAGGGUGGAGUGGAGGUGUAGGUGGAGGUGGAGGGACGAGCAACGGCUGGCUAAUGGUUACGUUUUUGUAUCGCUUUCCGAGCCACUUACCCGCUUAGUUGGGCCCAUCCUCAUCCUCUGGCAUCGACACCCAGGCGGCGGCGGCAUAGCCACAGCACAACACAUUAUACAUUAUACACCCAGCAGCAUUUCCCAGCAGCAUGGAACUACCGACGCAGAACUGGCCCCCAAGGCAAAUCGA